GGAGGGUGCAAGCGUUAUCCGGAUUCACUGGGUUUAAAGGGUGCGUAGGCGGGUUGGUAAGUCCGUGGUGAAAUCUCCGAGCUUAACUCGGAAACUGCCGUGGAUACUAUCAAUCUUGAAUAUCGUGGAGGUAAGCGGAAUAUGUCAUGUAGCGGUGAAAUGCUUAGAUAUGACAUAGAACACCAAUUGCGUAGGCAGCUUACUACACGAUCAUUGACGCUGAGGCACGAAAGCGUGGGGAGCAAACAGGAUUAGAUACCCUGGUAGUCCACGCCCUAAACGAUGGAUACUCGACAUCAGCGAUACACUGUUGGUGUCUGAGCGAAAGCAUUAAGUAUCCCACCUGGGAAGUACGAUCGCAAGAUUGAA
rnacentral:rRNA from 1 species